GGGCUGCGUUUCAGCGCUCGCAUGUACCCCGCAGCUGUUGUCAGAGGAAUGCAACAGUUUUGUAAAUGAGAAGAAACAUGCGACGUCUCCUGAAAGGCACAAGCUGCAGUUUUGGCACAGAUUUAAUUCGCAGCCAACUGGCGCUCGAGAGGACCGGUCACGGGGCAUUCACCCAUGAUGUCUGCUCGUCCAGGAUCCAGCCGAUUUCCAGACCGUACCGCAUUUGGAACACGUCCAAGGACGUUUGAAAACGCUGGAGUACUUUCUCUUUGGUAACAAUGCAAUAAAUACUCAUUUGCACUGUUAA